GAUAGCUUUGUUGGUUAGAGCAUAGUGCUGAUAACACCAAGGUUGCAGGUUCGAUACCUGUAUGGGAAAGCU